UGAGUGCUGAGCCCAACGUGAGGCUCCAUCCCAAGACCCCGAGAUCAUGACCCGAGCCGAAACCAAGAGCCGGAUGCUCAACUGACUGAGCUACCCGGGCGCCCCUGAAGACAUCCUUUACGACCACAAAUCGGUUGUCCAGCACGACUUCAAGUGAGACCCAGGUCUAGAGGGGAGUUUCAGAGCACCUGCAAGGAGUAACAGUCUAGAGGAAGCCAGACACAAGAUGUUACCCAGGAAGCCAGAAGCCAGAAACACUUUUUGACAGCAGAAACUCCCUCAAGUCUAUUAAAAUCACCAGAAGAAAGAAGAAAUCAACUAGUGAUGGUCCCGGAAAAU